GGGCCGGUGGUCUAGCCAGGAAAGGACGGAGGCCUCCGGAGCCUCUAGCACGGGUUCGAAUCCCGUCCGGCCCG
rnacentral:tRNA from 1 species